rnacentral:piRNA from 1 species
GCAGCCAUGCUUCGUCACUACGCCAUC